CCUCCCAGGCUGGCCUAUAAAGGGUCUGCUUACAGCACCUGUGAAGCAAGCACUACCCGUUCGGGGAAGUCUCGCUCCUCUCCUCUCUGCUCAGAGGCUCAGUCGCGCAGCAUCUUCACCCAGAGUUUCUCCAAAACGCUGAAAGCUUACAGGCAACCAUGUGGGCUCUUGGAGCUGUACCUUGGGUCUCUAGUCUGACAUCUUCCAAGCACAUGGGCAAUUAAGCCACAAAUCAAACUUCCUUCAGCCACCAGGACUGCUUGAGGAACUCCCAAAAUCUCAAAAGUGAUCUGUGAUUUGAAGGAUAACUGUUGGAAGAAGGAAGGGUGUGAAAUGAUUAGGGAGACAUAUUUGUAAUCAUGACUUUAGGCUUUCUGUCCUAUCGAGGAUGAAUGGCUGUUUAACAUCUUCUCAUUAAACUGGUUUGCUCUAUAAAAACUCUCCAGGGCAUGGCCUCCCUUUUUCCAGGUUUGAUGGACUUACUCUAUACACAUAACUCUCAGGGCAGCUUUGCACAGUGGGUGAGGUAAGAAAUUGAUGGAAAUAUGUUUGGUAGAAAAACUAGUAGCUGCCGAAUCCAGAUCUCACUUACAAGAUAGUGAGUCACCUGCCACAAGGCUAAAGCUCUUGAGGGGAGGAGAAUAUGAGCAAAUACUCAUAUAGGCCCAUGAACUCCUCGGGAAGACAAAGCUGCCUCCAGCCCAUCAUCCUGAAGGAGCUGACAGGGAACCUUCAGAAGACCCUUGUGUGCUCCUGGGGCUCCUCUUCGACCUCAAGAUGUUUUGAUCAACUGAACAAGUGACACACUGAGUUACAUGGACUCCUGUCCAGGCGAUUUCCUUCUCAUGCAACAACACAGACCCUACUAUCCUCUUAGAAAAUGCCAGUAUUUACCCCACUAGGCCCUGUAUCUGAAUUUCUGUCAGUCACAUGAGGAGCCCAGGAGACUCAAGUCAUCUCAUCACAUGGAUGCUUAUUCUCCAGCAGCUUAGAACAUCCUGUAAUUAGCCCACAUCCCCACCUUUCUCAACCCCUAACCCUUCUUCAUCCUCUGGAAUAUAUAGCCAUCAGAAAAGUCCCCUUCAUACUUCAGCUCUCCUCAGAGUAGUCCCUUCAUCUACCUCUAACUAAAAUCUGGCUCACUCUGUAGAGAACACUUCAAGAGUCAUCUUCUCUAGGAGUGGUGAUUUCUCUCUCAUGUUCUCCAUGCUACGGGGUCUGGAGUUUAGAUAAUUUUAUUUGCUCCUUCCUCUUGGCUCUUUCAGACCUUUCUUCCUUCUUCUCUGUUUCUCCAUAUCCCCUGAUUUCUUUUGAAGUUGUUGCAGAGAGAUUACCCACUACCCAGACUUCCUGUAGUUAUUUAUUCAACCCCCAGGUCACUUUUAUUUAUUGCUUAGAGGUCUUAUUACAUUCACUCCAUGAUGACUCUGUCACAAUUUUUGGUAGUUUUAUAUUUAUGCAGACAAUCCUGUUAACCUCUUGAAUUUUUAGUUCCUCAUUCUCCUUUUUGGCUAGAAUCACAUCUUCUACUUUAUGUCACCUGCCCACUCUCUAAUGAGGUGACCCUAGACUUUGUCAUUGCUAGUAAUAGCGCUCCCUCUAUAAUCUCAGUUUUAAGCACCCCCUCUCCAAUUCACCUUUAUAACUUUCUAACACAUUCCUACUAUUUCCUUCCCUAAGAAAUAAAUAGACUUGUCUGAAAUCUUCAGUCUAUGGCCCAUAUGCCUUUUUCACUGCAUACAUUUUCUUAACUCCUCAAAAUUCUCAUAUUCCUUCAUCUGAA